rnacentral:tRNA from 1 species
UGUCCUUAUAGCUCAGCUGGAUAGAGCGCAAAAUUCCUAAUUUUGAGGCCGUGAGUUCGAAUCUCGCUAGGGACAUGAA